GCACGGACCGGCCGCAACCAGCCCCUCAGAGGGCUUCCCCCCCGAAAAACGAAGUUCUUCGUCCCUGAGGCAAAGGUGGGAGGAAACCUUUCCCAACCACACAGCCGGCAUAGACCCACUAACCUGCCGGGAGAACGCCAAGCAGCCCCGAGAAGCGGAGCCCCCCCCAUCCCUUCACAGCCGAGGGCAGCUCUGAGGGAGCGGGGAGAUUGUUGAAACAGAACGCAGAACUAUUGCGGCAGCAUUGAGAACAACUCACAGGAGCACAGGAACCUGAGGGAAGAGGAGGCCCUUUGCUGAUAUAGGGAUGUUGGCUGAACAGGGUAAAGUAGCCUUGGACUCCGCUGGAAAGGCCUUGAAGGAAAUACUUACCUUUCCAGCCAGCAGCACCACUCUUACCUGCUGUGCUGGACCCAGACCAGUGCCUCACAUCACAAAGUGCUUCUGGAGACAGACAGGAUGUGGGCUUGUACAGAUUCAGAAUAUUCUGAGCAAUUGAAUCCACUUUGGCUUUAGAUAAAGAGAAUUACAUCUGACACAACGAGAUACAGAUUUCAACACUGUUUGGCUCUGCACUGGGAUCUCCAGGAAACCUGAUGUGAUAUCAUCCUGGAAGCACAGCUUCAGCAGCCACUGUCUAUCUGUUGGAUGAGACCAGUGAAGAAUUUUAAAUUAGAGUGCUUUUCUCACUCUGACCUCGCCCUGGCACGGUGCUGCCAAAUGCCUUUGGGGAGUUUGCCUGGAAGCCUUAAACCUCUUUCGGAUUUCUAUUCAUUUUGCAAAUCGUGUUUGUAAUUGGGAAACAAAACCAAAGCAAUGAAAAUAACGUUGAAGCUUGAAGGGGGGCUUGUGAGGCACCACUUGGCAACGGCAGCAGGUGGAACCCUUUAAGGACAGACACUGGACUUUGUACAUCGAGCCAAGUCCUGAUCCUCACUCUGAGGGCAUUAAUAUUCAUUGGACAUGAGAGUCACAAUGGAGCAGACAGUCAGCUGCCUUUGGAUGAGUAAGCUACAGAGAUUGUGCUACUAAUGGAACUGGGCAUCUACUCCAGCUUCUGCCUCUCCUCAGGCAUCAAACGAGUCAAAACACUGGGGAAAACCUUAAGCUCAUCUAUAUUUGUGUUAUGAUGACUGAAAACUGAAAAUAAAGUAAAAUGACCAUGAGUUAGUCAUGGCUGCUUGGAAGUCCUCCACUCAUCUGUUAUGGAGCCUCACAAAGUCCUCCUACCUUAGCAGCAAGAACUGUCCCAGGAAGAUGUUUCUCACUGACUGACACAAAGCAGUUCAAUCAAAAGUGGAAUAUUCUAGCUGAGAGCUACUAAUGAACUGAUUGCUCAGGUCUUGCUGGUUGUGCUCUGGCUGACCUACAAAAGGAAGAGCCACUGGACAGUUUUCCUCAUCUCCACACAGUUCCUUCCAACCAACUGAUUAUCAAGUAGAGCCUGAACGUGAUCCCAGGGAGUUAGAACAAAGGUGCAUGUUGUCCCCAGGCAGAUGCACAGCACAGUGAAGGGCAGGUAUGUGUGACACUUCCUCUCAUAUCCUUGCCUUUCCAUCUAUUUUCAGAUUAGAUUUCCUGAGCUACAUGUGGUUUCUUUCUACUUAGUAACUCAUAUUUUUUCCAAGUACUUGGUAAGUCUCCCCUUUGGCAACAAGCUUUGGGUGAGAGCUCUCCCAGCUUCCAAAGGAGCUGAAAACUCCCAAGUGUCAAAAACCAGCCACAAAUCACUCAAUGCCUGGAAGGCUGGCAUUGGAGUAGCCUUUUUUUACUAGAAUGAAUAUGCUGA